ensembl:lncRNA
AUGAGCGUUAGGGAAGUUGACUGCAGUCUAGAGAGGGGGCUCUGACCGGCCGUCUAAGAAGAUCGAAUUGGGAUUUCCCCAACAAAUAGACUGAGUGGAAUGUCACGAGGAGAGACCGGUCCAUGCCCAGCGAGACAGGAGAUGUUUGUCCUAAUGGAUUACAUGAAAAAUCAGCCUGAUAUGAACAGAGACUGGGUGGUUGAAGUCCAGGAAAACUUUGGGCUGAACCACAAGACUGUACCUGGUGGUGAAGCUGACGGACCUCUACCUGGCCUGCAACAUCAUCAUGAAGGAGAGUCUGCAGCUUAUUGGAUCCACAGCUGUGCUCACCACCUCUAAGUUUGAGAACCACCUACAGGACGACAUCACAUUCUACAAGUCAGAGAAUGUCACUGUCCACUUGAGUUCAUGGAACAGUUUCAAUGAAUUGGUCAGUAAAAACACUGGGCUGAAUAAAGUAUGAUUUAUCAAACAGAGGCCCAUUCAGACAGUGUACGUUGAGCAUGACAUCAGUUUGGUCCAUCAUUGUAUGUCUGUAGAUACUGCAUCCCUCUUCUGGGUCUAAGCCUUGAAAACAUUGAUUGGAAAUUAUUUAUGACCUCCUUGGCCCAUGACCCAACACAAGGGAUUUGUCGAGUAGGUAAACAUUUCCUCAUGUUGCUUUGAAUCUUGACUUUUCUGUCUGAAUUGCUAUGUAAGUGAAUCCUUCGAUUACCAAGUAUCGCUUAUUCUCUUAGGAAUGCUCUCCACCUUGUGUAGAUGACUUCCUGUACAUCUGCGACGAUGCCUACAAAAGGGAAGGGAUCAUUGCCAUGGAGAUAAACAUGCGGUUUAAUAUGAACUAUCCAGUCCCCUAUCGCUUUUUUCAACAGUACACAAAGUGAGACCCUCCAUACUCUCAAAGGACAUGCAUUUGUGUCUGUCGUGUGGAAGUAAACAUACAGUGGAUAUAAAAAGUCUACACACCCCUGUUAAAAUGCCAGGUUGUUGUGAUGUAUAAGAAUGAGAAAGAUAAAUCAAUAGAAAGUAUUGCCCUCUUGAGAUUCAAACCCAGGUCGCCCACGUGAAACCCUGUAUCACUACACCACAGAGCUCUACUUUCGACAGGUGUCAGUAUAGCCUCUUGUGUCUAUGAACAAAUCCUCUUUUGCCACCGGCCGUUUUAACAGUUAAUUGGCCAUUUGUGAAUGAUACUGAUACAGUUAAACUUACGUUUCUUACUAAGUUUACCUCCACCACAAAUAGCGUCUAUG